ensembl:lncRNA
UGCCGCCAUUCCUUACUUUAAUUAAGAUAUAUCAGGACCAAAUUAUAUUGCAAAAUGUAGCGGUAACAUGCAAACAGAACAUGAUGAAGAGGAAAGACAAUUAAACUCGAGAUCAGAGUCACAGGUAGUAGACCAUGUUGCAGUUACUUAUCAGCUUUGUGGCUUCGGAGCAGUGACCUGAACCCACGUUAGCAAAAUGAUCAGUUUGGAAUAGAAGACUUGUAAGAUCCAUUUGAGCUCUCGAGUUUUCACUAUGGAAUCUCAAAGCCAAGAGUUACUCUUGCACCCAGUAUCACAGUGUUAAAACUUGUAAACUCAAAAUAAUUUAGAACAUAAUUCAGAAACUAAUAAUAAAAGGUAAAUGUAAAACUUGAUUAGUCUUAGUCCUUUAGAAUGAUGUCCCACAACAUGAACUCAGCCAGUAUCAAAGGCGUUCAAAGAUGCCUUUCAAUCCAUUUUGCCUCUAUUACGAAUGCUGCCAUGUGAGACAGAGACCCAAGGAUAAAAGCUGACAAGUAGUAGAGAACAGAAAAGCCCCAUAAAACAGAUGUUUUAAACAUGAAGCAGGUGUUGAUGUUUAUUUAUACCUGGCUGCUGCAUAGAUUGACAUUGUUAAAAUUUCAAAGUAGAGUUUCUUCCCCACAGACAAGGGACAAUGAAAACAAAUAGACAAGUCACAAAAGAAAUAAAAAUGGUGAACAAGCGUAUGGAAUAAUGUUCAACCUAACUAAUAAACAUGCAAAUUAAAUCAACAAGGAGGUACCAAUUUGUUUCCUUACCAAUUUUUUUUACUAGUGUAUAUUUCAGUGAUGACAAAGAUAUAGUGAAACUAUAUUCUCAUACAUCACUGGUAAGUGAUAGCAUAAAUUUGUACAGGUCUUUUGGAAAAUACGUGAUGAUAAGCAUAAAGAAUGAUUUAUAUAUUCAUGACCUUUGAUUCUGCAAUUUCACUAAGAACAGAGGACAAAGCAACAUGCAUGAAGAUGUUCACUGCAGAGAAAAAUUGGGAACAGCCUCUAAAAGUCCAAAAAUAGAUGAAAGAUUGUAAACUUUGUUGCAUCUACUCAAAUAUUAUAUAGCUUUGUAAAAAUGAUGUUCUCAGAGGCUAUUUAGUAACAUAAAAUGUUUAUGACUUGAGAAAUGUGGUAAACUAUCAGAUCAUAUAUAUAUAUCUUUGGCUUAUACAAUGUUUUUAAAAUUUUAAUUUAGUGAACAUUUUCAUACUGAGAAAAUUUACACAAAAAUAUGUUUGUUUGACUCUACUCAAAAAAUCAGAAUAACUGGCAAAACUGAGCCCUUGUACAUGACAAUUAUUUGCAGCUAAGUAAUAACCAUUCCCUUUAGGACAAAAAACAUAUAACCCCCUUUGAUCCACAGUCCCAAUCCAAUGACUCUUGGAAGCAUUGGAGUUCACAAUCCCUGACCUAAAUUUUAAAAUCAGGGUUUAAAAUUAUACAUAUAGGCCACGCACAGUGGCUCACACCUGUAAGCCCAGCACUUUGGAAGGCUGAGGUGGACAGAUCACCUUAGGUCAGGAGUUUGAGACCAGCCUGGCCAACAUGGUGAAACCCCGUCUCUACUGAAAAUACAAAAAUUAGCCAGGUGUGGUUGCAGGUGCCUGUAAUCCCAGCUACUUGGGAGGCUGAGGCAGGAGAAUUGCUUGAACCCGGGAGGCAGAGGUUGCAGUGAGCCGAGAUUGCGCCACUGCACUCCACCCUUGGCGACAGAGGGAGACUCCAUCUCAAAAAAAUAAUUAUUAUACAUAUAAAUUUUAAAUAUGCACAUAAAAAAGAAUGAAAUAUUCCAAAUUGCUAUGAAUGCUUGGUUGUCUUACAGUUCUGAUAUUAUAGUUGAUUCUUCUUUUUUUUUUUAAUUUUCUGCACUAAUCUUUUGUUUGGAAAAUGGGUUAGAAAUUAGAAAUUAGAAACCUGAGCCAAUGUGACCUGUCAGUAAAUAUCCAGUCUUUUGGUAAAUACCAGUCAUCUCCAGCAACAACAAAAAAAAAGAAAGUGAAGACCAUAUAUUUCUUUCCCCAUAAUCUUAUAACCAGGUGGCAUGUUACCAUGAAAGCAAGUGUUGGCCCAAAUUCUUCUAAAUGUACAACUCUUAUUGUUCAGAAAUUCUACCUUUGCUUCCUGUAAUCCCAAAUAAGUCCUCCUUUCUGUUCUCAGGCACAACAAUUGAAAUAAAAGUUUCAAUGAAACGGGAGCAAAGUUUCAUUCUUUGGCAGACACAACAAUAUUCCAAUAAUAAGAUCCGACAACAUAUUGUUAGGUGUGUGAACUAGACAGAUAAAAAACAAAUAGAGCUCUAGGCCUUGAGUACCGCUGGGUUUGACAGAUUUUUAGUAUCUUCUUCCUAGAAAAGGUGAUGGAAACCAGACAGAAAAGUAUUCCUAGUAUCCUUUACACAGCUUAAAAAACUUUUGGAUACAAAUUUUGAUGAAGAUAAUUGAAAUGAUUAAGCAACCAUCUUUAGAAAGUGGAUUCCUGAUUAGGAUACUUCAAAUGCUAACUAUAUGUCUCUAAAAUAUAUGAUAAAGUUCAGUUACACAUAUGCAUAUUUCACACUACUUAUGUCAAAAAUGUUUAAAAUAAAUUGUUGCAUAAAAACUACAGAUGUUGGCCGGGUGCAGUGGCUCACGCCUGUAAUCCCAACAAUUUGGGAAGCUGAGGCGGGUGAUUCACAAGGUCAGGAGAUCGAGACCAUCCUGGCUAGCACGGUGAAACCCCGUCUCUACUGGAAAAAAAAAAAAAAAUUAGCUGGGCGUGGUGGCAGGCGCCUGUGGUCCUAGUUACUCGGGAGGCUGAGGCAGAAUGAGUAAACCCGAUGUUGGUUUUUUAAAAAGUGAUGAUCUAUAGGCUUAAGCUUCUUCUAGCUAUUAUGUCAUAAUUUUAUUUUUGUAUUUCUAAUUCUAUUCUCUCCAAAUUGAUUAUCUUUACAUACUUAGAACAUAGGUGAGAAACAAUAUCAAAUAAAUCUCCUAUAGCUAAUAAGUGAUCAAACAAUGAGACUCAAGCUAAAAUCUGGUUGCCUGACUUAGUUCUCCACAACCCAGUGUUCUAAACCCAUAGGUUAAGUGACUUGAAAACUGGAUACCGAAAUGCCCAUCCAUAGUGUGUCAAAACAGAAGAUGGAAGAAUAUUCUAGAAGUUAAUAACACUUGCUGAAACAUUGUAAAUAGCAAGUUCAAAGUGGCUAGCUAUUUUCAUCCUGUAGGUGGUUGUGAUUUAGAAGUUAUGAGAGUAUACUCUCUUCACUGCAAAAUAUUUCUUGUGAUAUUAGUAAUAGAAAGUGAUCCGAGGAAAUGAAUAAAUACAUUAAUUCAAUGAAAAGGAAGCCAGGGUUGUGCCAUGAUCCCUCUCUGGGCAUUGGAAAGUAGUCAGAUAAAUUGGUUUCUCUUCCAAAAGUUACUGCCAUUAGUCAGAUAACACCUAGGGAAACUUACAUUUAAUGUCUUCACUAAAGAAAGGAUACUUGAUGAUGGUCUUGAAAAAACCAUCACAUUGGAAAAUAUGUGGUAGUGAUUGUAUUGGCAACUGAGAUACCGUCACAGUUGGGUUCCCUGAGGGAAAUUAUUUUGAGAUGGAGAUUGGCAUGAAAGAAGUCUAUUAGCAAAUUCCUGUGGAGGAGAGAAGGAAGACAGGCUUGGAGAAAGGGAGAGAUUUAACAAAAGCCUCAGCCAACCUAAUAGGGAACUCUGGAGCAAUGUAAGAGAGUAUGUGUGUGUGUGUGUGUGUCCAUCAUAAAUAUUUUCUAUCUCAAGGGAAUACAGUUUUUGACCUACCAUUCUGAUGGGUAGAGAAAGAACACAUUUGACAGAUCAGUGACCACAAACCAUGUAGCUGACAUUGUCUUAAUCUAUUCUAGCCAAAGUUUCACAUCUGGUACAGAUGCUGCAGUUAGGGUUACUACUUGGCUGAGUUUUCAAUAGUCCACUUUCAUCCAGUGUCUAGUUUUUAUAGAGGUCAGACUGGUGAAUUAAAUGGAAUUAUGAUAAGGCUCAACAUUCCCACACGCUUUAGGUCUUGAAGGGUAGCACUAAUCUCUGC